UACGAAGGGGGCGAGCGUUGUUCGGAUUUACUGGGCGUAAAGAGCGCGCAGGCGGUCGUUCAAGUCGAGUGUGAAAGCCCCCGGCUCAACUGGGGAGGGUCAUUCGAUACUGAUCGACUUGAAGGCAGGAGAGGGAAGCGGAAUUCCCGGUGUAGUGGUGAAAUGCGUAGAUAUCGGGAGGAACACCAGUGGCGAAGGCGGCUUCCUGGCCUGUUCUUGACGCUGAGGCGCGAAAGCUAGGGGAGCAAACGGG
rnacentral:rRNA from 1 species